AUGGAUCCCCUCUAUCGUCCCGAAUUCCUCAUCCUCCUGCUGAAGCAGGAAGGACGUUCUCUCGAGGACCAUACCAGACAGUUUUUCCUAUUAGCUAAUGCCACCAGCUACCCGGACGGCGCGCUCUGCACCUUCUACAACACCAGCCUGAACUCCAAAUGCAGAGCGUUGUCGUCCGAAGAUGGUCCUCGAGAGGAUUUCGCCGCAUUUGUGGAGUGGACUCUGGCGAGAAAUGGGUCAUCUCUCACCAUCUGCCCCAUAGAGGACCUCGCCAGCCCCACUCCCGACCCAGAGACCAGCCAGCCACCAUCACGCCACACGGAGCCAGAGCCCACCGCAGCCGCAGAGCCCGAGCAAUCCAUUGACAGGGAACAGGAUCUCGAGAGCGCGACUGACCAGGUGUGUGAGCCGGCAACACCGUGCAUCGUGGGAGUCCUCGUGGAGAUCGAGGGCGUGGAGGAAAGCCCUGCCCACACUCCUGCGACUGAGGGUGAGCUGUAUACAGUCUCUGAAGGUCAUAAGGUGCAAGCUCUGGAUCUGAUGGACUGGUCUAUGGAGGUAAUCCCUAAUUUUCCUGUUUCCCCGCUGGUUCCGUCCAGCCCUGAUUCCCCUGUAUACCCUCUCAGUCUCCCACUCCUACCUCCUCCAGUCAUUUCCUCUGCUCCAUUUCCGCUGGUUCCGCCCAGCCCUGAGUUUCCUGUUUCUCCGCUGGUUACGCCCAGCCCUGAGUUUUCUGUUUCUCCGCUGGUUACGCCCAGCCCUGAGUUUUCUGUUUCUCCGCUGGUUACGCCCAGCCCUGAGUUUUCUGUUUCUCCGCUGGUUACGCCCAGCCCUGAGUUUUCUGUUUCUCCGCUGGUUCUGCCCAGCCCUGAGUUUCCUGUAUCUCCGCUGGCUCCGCCCAGCUCUGAAUCUUCUGUUUCUCCGCUGGUUCCGCCCAGCCCUGAGUUUUCUGUUUCUCCGCUGGUUCCGCCCAGCUCUGAAUUUUCUGUGUCUCCGCUGGUUCCGCCCAGCUCUGAAUUUUCUGUGUCUCCGCUGGUUCCGCCCAGCUCUGAAUCUUCUGUGUCUCCGCUGGUUCCGCCCAGCUCUGAAUCUUCUGUGUCUCCGCUGGUUCCGCCCAGCUCUGAAUCUUCUGUGUCUCCGCUGGUUCCGCCCAGCUCUGAAUCUUCUGUGUCUCCGCUGGUUCCGCCCAGCUCUGAAUCUUCUGUGUCUCCGCUGGUUCCGCCCAGCUCUGAAUUUUCUGUGUCUCCGCUGGUUCCGCCCAGCCAUGAUUUUUCUGUUUCACCGCUGGUUCCGCCCAGCCCUGAAUCUUCUGUGUCUCCUGUAUUCCCUCCCAGCCUCCCUCUCCCGCCUCCUCCCAAACCUGCUGGUCCCUCUACUCCUCUUUCGCUGGUUCCGUCCAGUCCUGAUCCUCCUGUCCUUCCUCCCAUCCUUCUCCUCUCUCCUCCUCCUAGACCAGCCAGUUCCUCGUCAUCCCUGCUGGUGCCAGUCAGUCCUGCAGCUCACCCUCAGUCCGCGCCAUCGGGGCGCGGUGGUUCGCCGCUGGACUGCCAGUCUCCAGCUCCGCCUUGGCGUGUUAAGGCCCUGUCUCCGCCUCCAGCCUCCGAGCCCUGGACUCCUCCUCGGUCCUUCGACCCAGCGGCUCCGCCUUGGCUCUUAGCUCCCUCGUCUCCACCGUGGCCUGUCAUCCCACCUGCUCCACCGGGCUCCCUCGUCCCUCCGGCUCCACCUUGGUCAGUCGUCGACCAUCCGCCGCCUCGGGACUCCACUCCUCUGGUUCCACCUCGUCACUCCAUCCCUCCGGCUCUGUCAGGCUCCUCCUUCCCUCCAGUUCCACCUCCAUCCUCGGUCACUCCGGCUCCACAGCGGUCUGCCAGGACCCCGCCUCUGCCUUGGUCGCCUGAGCCUUCAGCUCCACCUAGGCCCUCCGGAUCCUCGACGUCACCCUGGCUCUGCGGCUGUGCUGCUCCAUCUUGGGCUCCUCACCCACCGGUGCAGUCUCCGCCUGUCGGCCCCCUGGUGUCGUCGACCCUUCCUUCACCAUGGCUCCUCCCGCCGUCGACCCCACCUUGGAUCUCCGUCCUGGCUGGUCUCUGGUGGACCAUCUGGCUCCUCCUGCUCCUGUCUCCUCCCUGGCUCCUUCCUCCGUCGUCUCCUCCCUGGCUCCUCCUUCUGUGGUCCCUGUCUGCUGGCCCCCUCCUGGAAGUCCGUCCUCCACCGGAACCUCCUCCCAAGUUCCCACCUACGCCUCCCCCUGUUGUUUCUACGGUGCGAGGACGCACCUACCGGGAGGGGGGAGUACUGUCACACACCUGGACUCAUUUAAUGUGUUUUUGCCCGUGA
rnacentral:lncRNA from 1 species